rnacentral:rRNA from 1 species
UAGGGAAUAUUGCAAAAUGGGCGAAAGCCCGAUGCAGCAACGCCGCGUGGGCGAUGAAGGCCUUCGGGUCGUAAAGCCCUUUUUGAGGGGAUGAGGAAGGACAGUACCCUCAGAAUAAGCCUCGGCUAACUACGUGCCAGCAGCCGCGGUAAAACGUAGGAGGCGAGCGUUAUCCGGAUUUACUGGGCGUAAAGCGCGUGCAGGCGGAUUGGAGAGUUGGAUGUGAAAGCUCCCGGCUUAACUGGGAGAGGUCGUUCAAUACUUCCAGUCUUGAGUGCAGUAGAGGGAAGUGGAAUUCCGGGUGUAGUGGUGAAAUACGUAGAUAUUGGGAAGAACACCGGUGGCGAAGGCGGCGACCUGGUCCAUUACUGACGCUGAGGCGCGAAAGCGUGGGGAGCAAACA